rnacentral:rRNA from 1 species
AGCAGCCGCGGUAAUUCCAGCUCCAAUAGCGUAUAUUAAAGUUGUUGCAGUUAAAAAGCUCGUAGUUGAAUUUUGGAUUCUGCCAGUUGGUCCAUCUUUUGAUGAGUACUGAUUGUGUGGGGUCUAUCCGCCUGGUGAUACGUAAUGUACUUUAUUGUAUGUUGCGGGUAGUCAGGACCUUUACCUUGAAAAAUUAGAGUGUUUAAAGCAGGCUUAUGCCGGAAUACAUUAGCAUGGAAUAAUAGAAUAGGACGAUGUUGUUUUAUUUUGUUGGUUUCUAGGACAACCGUAAUGAUUAAUAGGGAUAGUUGGGGGCAUUAGUAUUCAAUUGUCAGAGGUGAAAUUCUUGGAUUUAUUGAAGACUAACUACUGCGAAAGCAUUUGCCAAGGAUGUUUUCAUUAAUCAAGAACGAAAGUUAGGGGAUCGAAGACGAUCAGAUACCGUCGUAGUCUUAACCAUAAACUAUGCCGACUAGGGAUCGGGCGAUGUUGUUUCCAUGACCCGCUCGGCACCUUAUA